rfam:Avibacterium paragallinarum strain CL AvpgCL_contig_5, whole genome shotgun sequence.
UUCUAUGGUAACGUGUUAUGGGAAAGGUUUCGCCCUUUGCUGUGUUCCACUGAUCGCAGUUUUCCAGCCCGUAACACGUUACCGCCAAA